UGGGGAAUAUUGGACAAUGGGCGCAAGCCUGAUCCAGCCAUGCCGCGUGAGUGAUGAAGGCCCUAGGGUUGUAAAGCUCUUUCACCGGUGAAGAUAAUGACGGUAACCGGAGAAGAAGCCCCGGCUAACUUCGUGCCAGCAGCCGCGGUAAUACGAAGGGGGCUAGCGUUGUUCGGAUUUACUGGGCGUAAAGCGCACGUAGGCGGACUUUUAAGUCAGGGGUGAAAUCCCGGGGCUCAACCCCGGAAUUGCCUUUGAUACUGGAAGUCUUGAGUAUGGUAGAGGUGAGUGGAAGUCCGAGUGUAGAGGUGAAAUUCGUAGAUAUUCGGAGGAACACCAGUGGCGAAGGCGGCUCACUGGACCAUUACUGACGCUGAGGUGCGAAAGCGUGGGGAGCAAACAGG
rnacentral:rRNA from 1 species